AUUGAACGCUGGCGGCAUGCCUUACACAUGCAAGUCGAACGGUAACAGGUCUUCGGAUGCUGACGAGUGGCGAACGGGUGAGUAAUACAUCGGAACGUGCCUAGUAGUGGGGGAUAACUACUCGAAAGAGUGGCUAAUACCGCAUGAGAUCUACGGAUGAAAGCAGGGGAUCGCAAGACCUUGUGCUACUAGAGCGGCCGAUGGCAGAUUAGGUAGUUGGUGGGAUAAAAGCUUACCAAGCCGACGAUCUGUAGCUGGUCUGAGAGGACGAUCAGCCACACUGGGACUGGGACACGGCCCAGACUCCUACGGGAGGCAGCAGUGGGGAAUUUUGGACAAUGGGCGAAAGCCUGAUCCAGCAAUGCCGCGUGCAGGAUGAAGGCCUUCGGGUUGUAAACUGCUUUUGUACGGAACGAAAAGCCCCGGGUUAAUACCCUGGGGUCAUGACGGUACCGUAAGAAUAAGCACCGGCGAACUACGUGCCAGCAGCCGCAGUAA
rnacentral:rRNA from 1 species